UACGUAGGGACCAAGCGUUGUUCGGAUUUACUGGGCGUAAAGGGCGCGUAGGCGGCAAUUCAAGUCAUCUGUGAAAUCUCCGGGCUUAACUCGGAACGGUCAGAUGAUACUGCUUUGCUAGAGUGCAGAAGGGGCAAUCGGAAUUCCCAGUGUAGCGGUGAAAUGCGUAGAUAUUGGGAAGAACACCUGAGGCGAAGGCGGGUUGCUGGGCUGAUACUGACGCUGAGGCGCGAAAGCCAGGGGAGCAAACGGG
rnacentral:rRNA from 1 species